rnacentral:lncRNA from 1 species
UUUUUUUUUUGUCUUUUUUGAGCACUCUACCCACAGCAUAUGGAGGUUCCCAGGCUAGGGGUUGAAUCAGAGCUGUAGCUGCCAGCCUAUGCCACAGCAAGAGCAACGCCAGAUCUGAGCCACUUCUGUGACCUACACUACUGCUCAUGGCAAGGCCGGAUCAUUAAGCCACUGAGCAAGGCCAGGGAUCAAACCUGCAUCCUCAUGGGUGUGCUAGUCAGAUUCAUUUCCCCUGAGCCAUGAUGGGAACUCCCGAAUUUAGGGAUUUACAAAAGAACAGGUAAGACAUGUCAGUUCUUAGAUGUGUUCUCAAAAAGUGUAUAGUGAGUCUUAAAAUGAUAGAGUCAAAAGAUAGCAUUUCAUUUAAAGGAGAAAGAAAAGGAGGCAGAAAGGAUGAUCCCCUCCAACACCCUACCCCAAAGAGGGGUGGGAAGGAGUAGAAACAUUCAAGAGGGAAUUCUUACAUCUGUACAGACGUUUAUACUUUCAGAGUUUGCAUUUUCAAAUUUAUUUACCAUAUUUAUCGCUCACUAUGACCUCUGAAAACAGGUGGAGUUUAUUAUUCCUACCAUUAAGGAAACGUGCCUGAGACUCACAGGGGUGAAUGCCUCUUCUAAGGUCCACAUACUAGCAGGUCAGUGAACAGGCUUACCUAGCAGCCAGGCAUCCCUACACAGUCUAUUACCUGUGCCAAUGAUGCUAGGCCAAUUUGAUGAAAGCUGGCGAAAGAUUACCAGGAGGUUGCCAAUCUGCUCUGUAUGAACUGAGUUCAUGCAGUUGAUUUGUAUUUAAAUUCCAUACACUCGAAUUAAGGUUAACUUUGAAUGCACAGUAGAAAAGCCAGCAUCAACAUUAACUUUCAAAGGUUUUUUCAGGCCUCCCCCAAUCUAAGUAAGACUUGGGUAGCUGGCUUUCAAGGCCACCACAGUGAGACUUCUAUGAGGAUUUUCAGCUUUAUCUCAUCCAUACCUAAAAAAUGUUUUAAGAUCUUUUUACCCAAGCCAAAUUAUUUGUUUCAGUCCUUCAACAUGAACAAAAGUAAAGAGAGAGGAAGGUAUGAUUUGUUCCGUCUAUAAUAUCUACCUUCUUCUUCUUCUUAUCUCUUUCUCUAACAAUUUAGCCAUCUUUUAGAAGGCUUUAAGAGCCCUCAAAUCAGCUGUGAUUUUCUCCUUUCACAUAGCUUUUCAAAGUUGGUGACACUAGUCACAUCCUGCCUUGUACUACUGUGAAGAAGAGCUAUUACUUUGAGAAACUGUGAAGUAUUCCAUUCCCCAAAUAGAAUACAAAUAAUUUGAUAAAGGAUUAUACCUUUUGUAACUUCUUCAAUUUUAUAUUCCUUUUGCAGAAAAUCUGUCAUAUAGUAGGGAAUUAACAAAUAUUUGUAAAACUGGAUAUAACUAGUCCAAAGAGAAGAAAAUAAAACCUCCAGAUUAAUGAUCCCAACAAUCUACUGACAUGAGAAAGAAAGAGAGAGAAAUAAACCAUAGAGUGAAAUCAAUAAACGAACUUAUUUGAGAGAAUGAAGAACAGUAAAAGUGGAAGGCAUUAAUUAUAUCUUCAGAAGCUGGAAAAAUUUAUGGUGCACAGCUACUAAAGAAAUAACUUUUGGAUGAAUACAUGAAUGAAUGAACAAAAAGAGGAGGAAAAAUGAGAACAAAGAACUGUUAGAAGAUAACCUUAAAAUUGGGUCCAUCCUUCCAAGCCAAAUGCGUAGACAUCAAUAGAAAUUAGGUCAUUGGUUUAAAAAAUACAUCCAAUGGAGUUCCCGUCGUGGCUCAGGGUUAACACACAAACAUGCACACACACACAAUAGCUAAGUAGAACUGACUCAACAAAAAUAUGACGUCUGUGACAUGCUAAUUAAGGGAAAUUGCUUCUGGUGAUCUUAUGUGAGUAAUAACAAACAUUACUUUUUGUAAAGCAAGGCAAUAAUGGAGUCUAAAUAUGGUUUAUAAUAAACACAUAAACACCUUUAUGAUGCAGAUGAACAACUGAAAGAGCGGGAAGUUCAUUUCCCCUUUCGAAAGGGUGAGAAGUUGUUUUAUUUUGCAUUUUGUAAAAUAGAGACAAAUCAUUUAAAAAAAAGAGGUUGAAAAUUCAGAGCGUAGUUUCAUAGUCAAUUACUAUAGUUUUAGAGUGUGAAGAUUUCUGUAUAUAUUUUUUAAAUUUCCCAUUGCCAUUGUUUUUUUUUGUUUUUUUGUUUUUUUUUUCCUCAGUAAAAUUAUAAAGGAAACAGAAAAGAAUGGGAGUGGAUAAGAAGGAGGGAAAAGCAGAAUUGAAGAUGUUCCAGAGAGAAGAGGAAAACUUUAAAAAGGGAGGAGAGUUAGUUAAGUCCAGAAAGAUGAACUAAAUAUUCAAGAUAGAAAUUUAAAAAGUUUAAAAGUUUAAAAAAUUUAAAAGUUUAAAAAGUAAUAUUUUGUUAUGAAAAUGUAAGAUAGCUUAUAAAAAGGCAACAUAUCAAAGGACUACUUUUCCUUCUAAAAAUGAAAGACACAGUGCUUAUAACUUUAUAAAUACUGCUUAUAAAUUAUCAAAAAUCAUAAUAAUUUUCACUAAAUACCAUAUAUUAAAUAAUUUACUUUCCUGUGUCAGUAUUUUGCGUUAAUAUGUUUUCAAAAUCAUGAAGUAAUUGUUGAAGGAAAGAAGAGUUGAAGGUUAUGUG